UUAAUGUAAUUGAAAUGUGUUCAGCAUUUCCAUGAUUUUUUCAUGCAUAGUUAUUUUUAGACUUGUUUACUUGGUUACUAAGCCAAUCAUAUUGUCGCAUUGGUUGAAAUGUGUGGUCACAUGACUAGUAGUUCUGUGCAGAACAUAUUAAUGACAGCUGGUCACAUGUACUUUUGGGAGGUGUCAUACGUUUUACAUGGUUGUUUAACAGUUUAAGGAUUGUUUGGAUUGUUUGGAUUCAUCACAGUUAAUACAGUUACUGCACAGAGAACAGUGUUUGUGUGAUAUCAGAUGUCAGUAGAAUGUAGGAAACAGAGGGGUACUUGUGUUACACAUAAGACUCAACACUCUCUUCCAGUAUAUUCCAUAUCCAUGGGAAUGAUGUAUUGUUUGUGUAAUUGUAUGAUGGACAAAAAAGUAAAUAAACAUUUAGUAAACUA